CUCGGAUCAGGUAGGGAUACCCGCAUGAACGU
rnacentral:rRNA from 1 species